rnacentral:rRNA from 1 species
UGUGUCAGCAGCCGCGGUAAUACGUAGGUGGCGAGCGUUGUCCGGAAUUACUGGGUGUAAAGGGCGUGUAGGCGGGGGUGCAAGUCAGAUGUGAAAGACCAUGGCUCAACUGUGGGGGUGCAUCUGAAACUGUGUCUCUUGAGUGCUGGAGAGGGAAGCGGAAUUCCUAGUGUAGCGGUGAAAUGCGUAGAUAUUAGGAGGAACACCGGUGGCGAAGGCGGCUUCCUGGACAGCAACUGACGCUGAGGCGCGAAAGCGUGGGUAGCGAACAGGAUUAGAUACCCUGGUAGUCCACGCCGUAAACGAUGGAUACUAGGUGUAGGAGGUAUCGACCCCUUCUGUGCCGCAGUAAACACAAUAAGUAUCCCACCUGGGGAGUACGGUUGCAAGACUGAAACUCAAAGGAAUUGACGGGGGCCCGCACAAGCAGUGGAGUAUGUGGUUUAAUUCGAUGCAACGCGAAGAACCUUACCAGGUCUUGACAUCCGACUAACGGAGCAGAAAUGCACCGGUGCCCGCAAGGGAAAGUCGAGACAGGUGGUGCAUGGUUGUCGUCAGCUCGUGUCGUGAGAUGUUGGGUUAAGUCCCGCAACGAGCGCAACCCUUGCCUUUAGUUGCCAUCAUUAAGUUGGGGACUCUAAAGGGACUGCCGGUGACAAAUCGGAGGAAGGUGGGGAUGACGUCAAAUCAUCAUGCCCCUUAUGAUCUGGGCUACACACGUGCUACAAUGGGUGGUACAGAGGGAAGCGAAGCCGUGAGGCGGAGCGAAUCCCAGAAAGCCACUCUCAGUUCGGAUUGCAGGCUGCAACUCGCCUGCAUGAAGUCGGAAUCGCUAGUAAUCGCAGGUCAGCAUACUGCGGUGAAUACGUUCCCGGGCCUUGUACACACCGCCCGUCACACCACGAAAGUUCGCAACACCCGAAGCCGGUGGCCUAACCGCAAGGAGGGAGCCGUCGAAGGUGGGGCGGAUGAUUGGGGUGAAGUCGUAACAAGGUAGCCA